GGGGAUUUAGCUUAGUGGCAUAAGCACCUGCCUUGCAAGCAGGUGGUCGUGAGUUCUGUCCCCG
rfam:Cavia porcellus supercont2_668 genomic scaffold, whole genome shotgun sequence.